rnacentral:lncRNA from 13 species
CGCGCCCUCCAGCAGCCCUUAUGCAAGGACUUAAAGCAUCUUGCCUUAGUGCCAUUCAUUUCACAAUGUCACCCCAGGUGAUGGAGGACUGAGUCUUGCCUUACUGUCAUUCAUUUCACAAUGUCACCCCACGUUCACACUUCCAACCUGAGAGGCAUUAGUAAAAGGAUUAAGAUCACCCAUGAAUAACUAAGAUCACAUAUGAAUAACUCAUAACUACUAUGGUUAUAUUUCUAGUUACUUUCUUCUUCAUUAUUUAUAUGAAAAUAGGCUGAGGCCUUUUGCUCCUGCCUCGGGGCUUACGGGAUCUCCCCACUACAGGGACAGACAUGUGGGUGCCUUCCACACUUUGGCGAUUAUGAAAAGUGCUGUCAGGGACAUCCCUGUUACAAAUAUCUGAGUCUUUGCUUUCAGUUCUCUUGGGUAUGUACCUAGGCCCCAGGUGUGAAAUUGCUGGGUAAUUGUUUGGUUUUUUGAGGAGCUGCCACGCUGUUUUCCACAGUGGUUGAAUCAUGUUUUAUUCUCAGCAGCAGCACACAGGGGUCAGUGUUUAUCACGUCCUCACCUCCCCAUGUUAUUCUCUGGUGUGUGUCUAACUCUGGCCACCCAUUGGGUGCACAGGGCCAUCUCACUGUGGCUCUGGCUUGCCUUUCCCUGGUGACAGUGCUGGGGACAUCUUUUCCUGGGCUUGCUGGCCAGCUGCAUCUCAUUGGAGCGGCAUCUCUUUGAGGCCUCUGCCUGUUGUCCCCAGGGUGGCCAUCCUGGUAUGUGGCUUACUUUGCUGUCAUGUCUCCAUCCAGGGCUUCUGAGAAGUGACUGUGUCUCCUGGGUGGCCAUCCUGCCAUGUGGCUGACUUCACUGUCCCAUCUGCACCCAGGGGUGCUGAGCAGCAGCUUCGUCCAGAGGCGUCUCCAUCAGUGUCUGAGCCCCAGGUCCCUUUUGAAGCAGGUGUAGGAUCAUCUGAUUUCUCUUGUGGGCACAGAGUCACCACCAUCCUUGGGAACUCUGAGAACACCUCAGAAGACCUUCCCUGUAACGUCAGCUCAUGUCAUUUUAGAGACACAACAGCUGCCCAGCUUGCAUGUUCCAGUCGAGGGCAUAAGACUGACAGAACGGAUUCUGUGGCAGUGAAGGUACCAAAGUGUAAACAGCACCUAAAGCCAGGCCCGGCAAGGGUUGAGACACACCCCCCUCAACUUAAGGAAUAAACUGUUCUGACUGCC